CAUUAGCAGUUUCAUCAGCGCCUUACACGUUGGUGUAUGCAGGUGUCUGGGGCUACAAUGGAUUCUUAUCAGCAGCAUGUAUAACUUUCUUUUAUGGUGCCAAACCCAAAGAUGAUAAUCAUGGCAGCCAUUAACGCUGUCUUUACAUCUUGUCUUCAGGCUGCAAUCGUUCCUGUAUUCUCAGCGAAUAACCUGCCAGUAUUCACAUACCCUUUCUGUCUAAGCUCACUUUGUUUUCUGGCUCUAACUACGAACGCAGGAAUGGGAAGCCAGAGAGUUGCGAACCCUACAUACCCAGAACAUCAUCUUGCUCUUUAUCUCGAGACGUCUGAGGGUAUCAACGACUAGACCAGUCACGCCAACGAGAACAUACUAUGCAAGUUCAGCAACAAAAAAUUUGAAGUUAACAUGAAUUACACAAGAAUUACACCAAGACAUGUCAAAAUAUUCACUAUAAUUGUUGAUGCAAGAAUCAAGUGAUACUGUUAAAGGCCGAUUCACUGACAUUCUGGCAAGUCUAAUCUGACUCCAAUGGUCCGAUUGGAUUAAUUCUGGAAUCCCCUACUACUAUAUCAACGUAAAAACUAUGCUUUAUCCGAGGCUAAACUCUGCAAAAGUCUGAGGCCAAACUCUGACAAAGCAUACUAGGCUAAAGUCCUAUUCAAGAUCUUCCAAACAUUAGCUGUAAGAAUAUUCUAUAUGCAAAAAGUGAUGUAGCAAACAGGAGCAAGAAAAAUAAAAAUGAAAG